rnacentral:rRNA from 1 species
AGUGAACGCUGGCGGUAGGCCUAACACAUGCAAGUCGAACGGCAGCACAGUAAGAGCUUGCUCUUACGGGUGGCGAGUGGCGGACGGGUGAGGAAUACAUCGGAAUCUACUUUUUCGUGGGGGAUAACGUAGGGAAACUUACGCUAAUACCGCAUACGACCUACGGGUGAAAUCAUGGGAUCUUCGGACCUUGCGCGAUUGAAUGAGCCGAUGUCGGAUUAGCUAGUUGGCGGGGUAAAGGCCCACCAAGGCGACGAUCCGUAGCUGGUCUGAGAGGAUGAUCAGCCACACUGGAACUGAGACACGGUCCAGACUCCUACGGGAGGCAGCAGUGGGGAAUAUUGGACAAUGGGCGCAAGCCUGAUCCAGCCAUACCGCGUGGGUGAAGAAGGCCUUCGGGUUGUAAAGCACUUUUGUUGGGAAAGAAAAGCAGCAGGUUAAUACCCCGCUGUUCUGACGGUACCAAAAGAAUAAGCACCGGCUAACUUCGUG